AUAUUCGUAAAAAGGACAACUCAUAUAAUUGUGAUAAUAUGGUUCGCAAGUUUCUACAAGAUACCUUAAAUAUCUCGCUAUGAGUACGACGAUUAACAAA
rnacentral:ncRNA from 2 species